rnacentral:sRNA from 1 species
GGUAUGGAAAACAUCUAGGAUGUUUUCUUUUACGUAAUUUUAGGAUGUUUUCAACAGAUUGACAUUCAUCAUGCACAUUUUCUAUAAAGAGAAAAGUCUACAAGUAUACGUUGGAGUGCUUUGUCAAGGAAAUGUUAGGAUUGUUCACAAUAAAGCAGCACUUCCAGAUUGACAGAAUGCUGAAUAAGAAAAACUGAGUAACCUUAAAUAUCCGGACGAUGUUUCCAUUGUUGAUACUCCAGAAUCGAAUUUCAUUAUCCCCAUCACAAGAACAAAUGAGGUCAUCCUUGUUUGGGUGGAAAUCCAGUGACAUAACAGAUGCUGAGUGCCCAGUGAACGUUCGAAUUGAAUAGCCUUGCUGCAAAAGUACAAUGACAGCAUUAGAAUAUGAUGAGCAGUAAAACACAACAGUACUUUGCUGCCCUUGCAGCUUUAACAUUACAAGUACUGACAUUACCCAGGAAUCUGAAAGUUCAGAAGUAUCAUGCUUAUAUCCCCUAGAGAACAAACAAGUUCCACUUCUACAAAAUGAAUCCAUGCCAUGCCUAUGAAUCUCAAAAUUGAUGUUGUAGAUCAUUCACGACAUAUGACCUUGAGAUGGACAUUGCUUACUGUAUUCUUUGAGAAUUUAUAGCCUACUUAACUUUAUGAUGUUGUUUCUACAUAAAGGGCAGUUCAAAAGGUAAAAAAAUCUGGCUAAAUAUACAAAUGGCAAUUUGAUAUGGUUUCAGUGCUAGUUGGCAGGUUUUUGCAACAUAACACAGAGGCAAUCACCGAGGCAAAUAGAUGGUAGGAAAAAAGAACUAAACAGUUAUGUACUUACAUUGUCAGCAUCCCAGACCCUGACAGUUUUAUCAAAUGAGGAGGUAGCAAGGCGUGGAAUGCUUGGACUGAAUCGUACAUCAGUUAUCAAAAGAGAAUGUUCCUCCAAUACUGACUUCUGUUUUAAAGUUUCAGCAUGCCACAAUACCACCUGCAUUGAAACAUUGCAAGUAUCUAUUUCAAUAUCACCAUGAAGUCAAAGAUAUGCCUGCCCACUUCCAAGAGUAUCAACUAGGCUGAGCAUCUUAACAAGCCCAGGCAUGUGCACUUACCUUCUUAUCAUGACCCCCAGUAGCAAGUAGCUUUCCAUCUGAUGAGAAGUGGCAGCAUACAACCUUGUUCGUGCUUGCUUGUACAGAAGAGACCUCUCGGAAGAUGAAUCCUGCUUAAGACAUAUAAACAGAAUCAAAGCUCUACAGAACACAAAUUCAUGUUAGACUUCCCUACAAAAUACAUCAUAAAUCUAACCCACUGAACCAAUAUAUGUUACCACAUGACAUAUUAGAUAAUUUCCCCUCUCACAGGACCAUAGCCUGAACCGCACCAACUGCUCAAUUUCCAAGCUAAAUUCACCUAAGUGAGUUCAGCUUGUUGGUACUAUUUACACCAGCCAUAAUUACAUUCAAGACUAAACUGGCCAGGGUAACCACUGCCAAUGAUGUUAAUAUGUCAAAGCCAACCAUUCAACUUCAACUAGCCAUAAGUUACAAAACAGUUAGCCUUAUCACACCUUUAGUAGAUUCCAUACGACUGCCAUCUCUUCGAUCUGCAUCAUCAUGCGACAGGAACGAAUCCACAUGAUCUUCCAAGCAGCCAUCCUCCACAAAACGAUCCAUGUCAGCCUGCAGUGUGAGUUAUCAGAUGUUCAGAAGUCAGGCAUCAAACAGACCAUCAGUGCAAUGAAACAUUUCCAAACUAUGUUGCAUGCAUAAUAUAUCCACGUAAUAGGGCCAUAGCUGUUUGGAUUUAGAACCAGUUGUAACUUACAAGUUGAUUUGAUGGUGAUCCCAUUGUCCCUGCUGUACUGGUACCGUAAACAACUAAAGCCUUUGAUAAGCUAGCAUUGUGGUGCAGCGAGGGCAUUGAAAUUGUGUCUCCUGGGCUUUGCGAUGAAGGAGUUGAGGGUUCUGAGGAGGGGACCGCGGUGUUUCCAGUGCCAGAACUAUUGGCUGGACCAGACGAUGAGAUUGGCUGUUUGCGUUUUCGCCCAUUUUGAUUCUUGGAAACCUGCAAAACAAUAUAUUUAUGAUGGAUACAAGUCUUAACAAAAGGAUAGGCACAGUAACAAAUCAAGGUGGUAAUGUUGAAUAUAUGUAGAAGGAAGUGAAACCUGUUCACUUCCACGGAAUGAAUUAGACAGGCUUCCAUCAAUAGUAACACUUCCAGCUCCCAUUUUUUCCUGCUGGCCUGGAAGGUGAUUAGAGAUUGGUGGUUGCUGGCUAAGUAAAGAAUGCUGAAGGAGCUGUUGCUGAUUGCUGCUUUGCUGGUGCUGCUGUAUAGCUGCUAUCUUCUACUACAUAUAAUGACGAGGUGUUAAGGUCGAAAACCAAAGAUGUAGAAGUUAUCUUGAAAAAGGUAGCUUCAGAAAACAUGUGAGCAUGUAUUAAUAGCAGCUAGAUCAUUAUGAAAUCCAAAUAGUAUGAGUUCCUCUGUUCAAAAGAUUAUAUUACACAAGGACCAAGACCGAUAUUUUCAUGAUUUAAUCACUAUGCUAUAGUAGAAAGUAAAUGGUACUGUGUUAUGCAAACUUGGCAACAUAACAUAACAAGAACAAGCAUGAUAAAUUUAAAUGAAAUUCUAUUACUGAUCACUGACAAGAAUUAAACAAUAUAAUCUAUGUACAUAUAAGAUAUCAAUUGAGAACAAAAUUAUGCAUAACC